CUGAAUAUGAGCUAGACAGGCGCCUGAAAAGGCUUAAUAGGGAAGACCGGUGAGAAUCCGGCGCGGUCCCGCCACUGUAAUGGGGAGCAAACCCAAUCAUGCCACUGGGAGAAUAUCCUGGGAAGGCUGGGCGAGCUAUGAACCAGAGCCAGGAGAACUGCCUGACUAUAUAUCGCCGC
rnacentral:ncRNA from 1 species